CACGUAGGGGGCGAGCGUUGUCCGGAUUUAUUGGGCGUAAAGAGCUCGUAGGCGGCUCAGUAAGUCAGGUGUGAAAACUCCAGGCUCAACCUGGAGACGCCACCUGAUACUGCUGUGGCUAGAGUCCGGUAGGGGAGCAUGGAAUUCCUGGUGUAGCGGUGAAAUGCGCAGAUAUCAGGAGGAACACCAGUGGCGAAAGGCGGUGCUCUGGGCCGGAACUGACGCUGAGGAGCGAAAGCGUGGGGAGCAAACAGG
rnacentral:rRNA from 1 species